UAGUUCAGCACUAAGUCACUUUGUCUUAAUGGCAAAUGUGAGAUGCAGUGUAUGGAAUGUCAAAUUUCUAGUAUGAGAAAUUAACGAUUUAAGUCCUUCUUAAAUGAGGCCAUUUACCCAAAGAGGGUGCCAGGCCCGUAUAACGUUAAUGAUUACUAGAUGGCAUUUCCUAAGAGUCGUGUUGCUUGAUAGUGCAGCACUAAGUGGGUGGUAAACUCCAUCUAAAACUAAAUAUAACCAUGAGACCGAUAGUAAACAAGUACCGUGAGGGAAAGUUGAAAAGAACUCUGAAUAGAGAGUUAAAUAGUACGUGAAACUGCUUAGAGGUUAAGCCCGAUGAACCUGAAUAUCCAUUAUAGAAAAUUCAUCAUUAUGAUUUUAAUAUUUAUAAUAUUAUAAUAAUGGUGUGCAUUUUUUCUAUAAAAGGACAUUGUAAUCUAUUAACAUCAAAUAUUUAUCAAAAGAUCAAUUGCAAAAGUUUAUUCAAAUUAUUUUGCUUGCAAUUUAACAUAGAAUAAAUGCUUUUGAUUUGAUAAAGUGUUGAUAGAUUUAUUAUAUAUAGUGCUUGAAUAUUUAUAUUCUAUAAUAGCAUAUUAAUCAUUGAUUUUUAUGUUUAUUAUAUGCACUUAUAUGAUUAACAAUGCGAAAGAUUCAGGAUACCUUCGGGACCCGUCUUGAAACACGGACCAAGGAGUCUAACAUAUUUGCAAGUUAUUGGGAAUAAAAACCUAAUAGCGAAAUUAACAUAACUUAUUUAAUGGGAUUAAUUUUUAGCCUAUUUAUAGUCUAUUAAUUCAAUCCCGGGGCGUUCUAUACAGUUAUGUAUAAUAAUAUUUAUAUUAUUUAUACCUCUAACUAGAGCGUACCUUGAGCAUAUAUGCUGUGACCCGAAAGAUGGUGAACUAUACUUGAUCAGGUUGAAGUCAGGGGAAACCCUGAUGGAAGACCGAAACAGUUCUGACGUGCAAAUC
rnacentral:rRNA from 1 species